GUUUAAAUAUCUUAAUGAUAUAAAGUAUGGUAUUGAAGCUACCAAGAUGGCUAUUGCCUUUAAAUA
rnacentral:tRNA from 1 species